CAACCAAUCGCCGAGGAGCACCACCCACCGAGCGACUGCUCAUUGGCAAAAGUGGCCGUCAAGUACACACGUCACGCAACAGCCAGGAUGGGCGGGGCAGAACUCUCGCCUUGGCUGCCCGAGUGAGUGUGAGUGUGAGAGCGAGAACAGCCCGCAGGUCCCGAGGCGCUUGCAGGGGACUCUGCCGCGGAAAGUUCCCAGUCCCCAGCCGCAGAUACUCUGGAAAAUAGGAAGAGAACCCAACCCAACCCAAACUGAAAGUACCAAAAUAUGUGAAAUCCGUACAGCAAAGAUGAUGAGCUUUCUGGGAGGAGAUACUGAAAGAAGAGUAAUUCUGUCCAGGGGGUCACUUCGAGAUCAUCCCUCUCACCUGAUGCUACUGACCUUGGAGAUUAAGGAGAUGUUGAAAGCAGCACUGCAGUCUCAUAAUUUUGGAAGUCUCCCUUGAAAGUCUUUCCACCUAAUCCCAGCUCUUUGUGAACACAAGAGGAUGGGAGAACAUUCCUCACAGGAUACUAUUAACACUGGGAAAAUCCUCAUCCAGUGGCUGAUGGAAGCAGAGGCAGACACCCACAGCUAUACACUGAACUGAACUCUGGAACCCAGUUGCAGAAAGAGAGGAAUGAAGAUCAAAGGGGUCCAGACCAGGCUGGUGAAUCCCACAGAAACAGCUGGCCUGAACAAGGGGGAGCACAUGGACCCCAGACACUGAUGUACAUUCAGGGAAAACAACAAGCUCAAAGUACUGGGCAGAGGAAUGUGUCCUCCAGUGAAACCUCAAGCUGGGGACUAAGCUCCUAAGGGAAAGCUGACACUUAAGAAACUCAACCCUUCAGAGAACCUGAUGAAACUCCACUGACAAAACUUAUGAUGGUCUGUUCUCUUCCACUGGAUCUCAAACUUGGGUACUCAGACUUGGUUAUCCAUAUUACUACUCUGCUUUAAUUUGUGGAAAUCUUCAUUCUUUCAUCAAUAUUAUUUUUAUUUUGCAUUAGAAGAUAGUAAAGAUCAAUUACUAGAUACUGAUUUCUUGAUUUAUUUAGUGAUUUGCUUAAAGUACUGUUUGUUCUGUCUACUUGCCAAGUAUGACUUCACUUGUUAUGUGGAACAGAAUGACAGGGAAAAAUAGCAGAAAAAUGGUUGUUUCCCUUAACAACCUGCUGAUUGCCAGGUAAGAUUCUACAGAAUCUGUCUUGUGGUUUUAGAGUAUAAAAUGAGACUACAAACUCCUUGGGACUGAAGCAUUUUAGAAGCUUGUCUGGCUUCAGUCUGUUAGUGAAUCUUCUCUCUUUUACUCUUUAUGGUGUUGGAGUGCUUAUUCAGAAACAUUCCUGAAACAGUAAACUUUUAUCUUGUCUGAUUAGUUGUUAUGGUCCUCUAUCUGUUUCUGUGCCUAGUUUAUUGGAUUUCCCCCACCCUGAACUGCAACCUAUCUUCUUCCUGCUAUGCCAUUUUCUCUUUCUGUCUCUGCCAUCCUGCUGGCUCUAUAAUUCUUAGAAAUGAUUUCCUAUGGCUUUACAACAUUUAAACUCUACUAGUGCUGUCAAUACCCCAACUCAACUUUCUAAUAUCACUUCUCUGUUGCGUUUGUAAGUCAUUUCUUGUCACUAUCAGCCCCCUUUCUUUACACCACAUUUAAAAUGUGGUGUAAUGUCCCUCCCCCUUUUUUCUAACAUAUUUAUUAAAGCAGAGGGGAUGAUUGUUUGUAAAUAGUCAUUACUGCAUUUUCACAGAUGAUCUACUGACCAGUUGUGCUUGCUACUUCAGCUAAUUUUCCACUAAUUGAACAGUGCUGGAAAUAAUUGUUGAAAACCUGAGAAUGUGAGCUAAGUUUUUAGCUACUGGGAUGCAUUCCUAAUCUGGAGGGAAAAUAUGAUAUUUCAACCGUAUACUGCUAAAGUAACACUUGAACAUGGAAAGUUCUUCAACUAAAAUAAUGAGUGGUUAAAAUUACAAUCAACAACUAAAUUCCAGGCUCACAAUUACCUAUAUAGAAGCAUAGAAUCAAGUUCUCAUGAUUCCUCAAGAUGAGUGUCUUAGAUAAUUUUUGUCACUGUGGAAUACACACUUAGCAAAUCUACUUGUGAAAAAGGGGCUUGCUGUAGCUUAUAGAUCAAGGUGAUAAUACAAAUUGUCUGAAUGAAAAUCAAUACUGAAUAAACCUGAAGCAUGUG
rnacentral:lncRNA from 1 species